rnacentral:snRNA from 1 species
AUCGCUUCUCGGCCUUUUGGCUAAGAUCAAGUGUAGGAAUGCCCAGUCCUUUUUUUUUUUUUUUUUUUUUUUUUUUUUUUUUUUUUUUUGUCUUGUUUGUGAAAUAGCAAACCAAACAAAAGAAACCAGCCUCUAGCAGCAACCCUUGGACUCCAG